rnacentral:rRNA from 1 species
CACGUAGGCACCAAGCGUUGUCCGGAUUUAUUGGGCGUAAAGAGCUCGUAGGCGGUUGAGUAAGUCGGGUGUGAAAACUCUGGGCUUAACCCAGAGCCGCCACCCGAUACUGCUCUGACUUGAGUUCGGUAGGGGAGCAGGGAAUUCCUAGUGUAGCGGUGAAAUGCGCAGAUAUUAGGAGGAACACCGGUGGCGAAGGCGCUGCUCUGGGCCGAUACUGACGCUGAGGCGCGAAAGCCAGGGGAGCAAACGGG